rnacentral:rRNA from 1 species
AUUGAACGCUGGCGGAAUGCUUUACACAUGCAAGUCGAACGGUAGAGGGGGCAACCCCUCGAGAGUGGCGAACGGGUGAGUAAUAUAUCGGAACGUGCCCAGUCGUGGGGGAUAACGUAGCGAAAGUUACGCUAAUACCGCAUACGAUCUAAGGAUGAAAGCGGGGGAUCACAAGACCUCGCGCGAUCGGAGCGGCCGAUAUCAGAUUAGGUAGUUGGUGGGGUAAAGGCUCACCAAGCCAACGAUCUGUAGCUGGUCUGAGAGGACGACCAGCCACACUGGAACUGAGACACGGUCCAGACUCCUACGGGAGGCAGCAGUGGGGAAUUUUGGACAAUGGACGCAAGUCUGAUCCAGCCAUUCCGCGUGCAGGAUGAAGGCCCUCGGGUUGUAAACUGCUUUUGUACGGAACGAAAAGGUCUCUCUUAAUACGGGGGACUCAUGACGGUACCGUAAGAAUAAGCACCGGCUAACUACGUGCCAGCCGCCGCCGUAA